UUGGAAGAUUUCUGACUCAGGGCCUUUUAAAGGAUGUUUUUUAUUUCUACAUGUGAUCUUUGUUGCUUUUCUUUGUUCCUGUGUUUUAUGUCGUAGUUUUUGUCUUAAAGCUGAUGGAUGUUCAGACAUUUAUUCAGAGUUUUCACUCUAAAAGGUUAAAGCAGCUGAUUUAUUCCUUGUCUCUCCGGCCUGUGAAAGUUCCUCUGAGCGUUGAAGGAAUCAAACGGAGCUGCAGGAGGUUUCUGUCGCUGAGCACAAAAUUACCCACUGGAUCUGUUUGGUUUUGUGAGAGGCUUAAUUAACAUUCCCUGAGUGUUUACAGUCAAUUACUCAACACAGUGGCUUUCUGUGGGAGCUACUCAUUACGACGCUGUCACAGAGAGAACAAAUCCUCCUCUAAGGAAGGAAUCCCCACAGAAACGAGCUUCACCAGAAAACAGUCAUUUCAGAAGUUAAGUGCUUUUCUCUGAAACGUCCACUGAUCCUCGAAAAUCAUCUGAGAAAGCGACCCGCAGAGUGUUUGUGGUUCGGUGGAUUCCAGAGAGCGUUUAAAGCUGUAAACAUCCAGCAGAGCUAGCAGGCUAACGGCCGACAACACACCAGAGAUGUUCUGAUAGGAAGAGCAGCUGCCGCAACUCAUGAAACCUCCACCAGCAAACACCACGAGCUGCUGGAACAUCUAAUUACACCUCCAGAUCCUGACCAGCUCCUGACCUGCUGCUCCUCCUCAGCCCACCGCAGAAACAGUCGCAUGAAGAAGGAUCUGCAUCGGGACAUUAACAUUCCUGCUGGUUACUGAGGAGAACGUAGAGCAGAUGGAAGCUCUUAGAACCCAUCAGACAAAAGGACAAACUAAAGGCAGAACACAGGAAACAAUCCAGCAGAACAAAGAACAAGCUGGACGUCUACUGAAGUCAUCAUUUAUAGGUCAGAGGAGUUGGAAUCAUCUCAGUCCAGGUUCCACAUCCAGACCAGUCUGAUGUCCAGUAAAACCAGUAAAACCACAGCAUGAUAACCUCUAAAUAACCACAACUCCUAAUGGUUCCUUCGUUUUAGUGCAGAAAUGUUCACAUUUAAGGAAUUAUCUUUUUACUAAACAUCAUGAACAACCUGAACUUUAUGAAGAAAAUAAGUUCAGUUUCACCAGCAUUCAUCCUCAGUUUAUCAUUUCCACAUCACAACUUCCAGAUCACAGAGUGUCUACAAAGGAACACAACAUUUAGUCAUCUGGACCUGAACCAUGGAGGAUUUUACUUUAAAAACUAAAAAACACAACAAAAACAUGACAAAAAAAUUACAAAGAUGAGACACAAAAUGACGAAAAAUGAGACACUAAACACGAAGCAACAAAACCGAGAAAUAAUUUGAUCAACAACUUACAAAGCAAGAAACAAUGGACAAAAACAAGACAAAAACGACAAAAAAAGAAACAAAUCGAGAAAAAAAUAGACCGAAAACAACUGUACACAAAAUAACAAAGUGAAACACAAAAUGACAAAAAAAGAAACAAAUCGAGAAAAAAAUGGACUGAAAACAACUGUACACAAAAUAACAAAGUGAAACACAAAAUGACAAAAAAAACCCCGACAAAAAUCAGUCAAAAAAACAACAUAAACAGACAAAAUAUUACAAAAAUGAGACAUAUGAACAAUCCAGUAUUUUACUUCAUGAUCCAAACAACUUGUCAUGGUCUAGAAAUGAUUUUAAAUUUAUAGUUUUACUAAUUUACAAUCUGCAGUUAAUGUCUUCUCUGGAAUUUUUACACUUUGAGGGCCGGAUUGGACCCUCUGGAGGACCACUUUUGGCCCACGGGCCUCAUGUUGGACCCUCUGGAGGACCACUUUUGGACCACGGGCCUCAUGUUGGACCCUCUGGAGGACCACUUUUGGACCACGGGCCUCAUGGUGGACCCUCUGGAGGACCGCUUUUGGACCACGGGCCUCAUGGUGGACCCUCUGGAGGACCGCUUUUGGACCACGGGCCUCAUGUUGGACCCUCUGGAGGACCACUUUUGGACCACGGGCCUCAUGGUGGACCCUCUGGAGGACCACUUUUGGACCACGGGCCUCAUGGUGGACACCCUGCUAUAGUUGAUCAGAACCAAAACCGAUCUAAAUCAUCAUAACAGAACACUUCGGUGAUAUUUAUGGAACCCUGUUUACUUGUUGGUUCCUGGAGAAACUUUGAUCACUAAUAAAAAGGUUCCCAGAAAUGAAUACUCCACAGAGUUCAUACAAAAUUACAUAUUAACAGGUUCUGAGUUUAACCUAAACCCCACUGGGUGGUUCUCUGAAGGACUGUCCACUACUACAGAAGGUUCUCAAGGAACCAUCUUGAACUCCAAAAGUUCUUCAACAGUGGAACCCUGGAAGGUUAUUCUAGGUUCCUCUAUUUGUCAGAGUGAUUUGUCUCUGGUUAGACGUCAUUAAGUAGAACAGAAGUCUUUGUCAUGGUACCUACUUCUGCUACACUCCCACAAUGCUCUCUGCUUUAACCUCCUCUGGUCUCACAAUUAAACAGGAAGAGGCUCCACCUGGUGGAACAAACAGGAACUGAAGCUGGUUUACAUUUACUGACAUGGAGAGAAAACAGGUUUACUGCAGUACAUCCUACCAUCUAGUCCUACAUUUACCCUCUAACGCUAACCACUAAUCUCCCACCCACAGAGCAGAACAGGAGAAGAUGAUGCUGAAGGUCUGAUGAACACCAGAAGAACCAGGAACUCCCAGUAGGUGGUACUAAGUGGUCCAGCUGGAGCUGCUGGGGAUGCUAGGCUAAUGCUAACACUGAGAGACUAGCUGUUAGCUCUUAGCUUGUGGCUAACACCAGUUAGACUAACUUCAGCUCUCUGUUCUGACCAGCAAACAGAAAAAAACUGAACCAGUAGCAGAAACAUCGACACAAAGCAGAACAUUAGCCGCAGUGGCUAAUGCUAUGCUAACGGCUAAGCUAGCAGACAACCACAGAUUAACAGGCUCUGGAAAACAAAUAUUUUUGUAGCCCUGUCCAAAAAGCAAUCUACAAUGCAUUAAAAAAAUAAAAGUGUUAAAAUUCUAUGUUAGUGGUUGUAAAUAGUGAAAAUUCAUAGUAUUAAUUAAAAGUGGUAAAAAAAAAAAAAAAAAAGCUCACUGAAAUCUAUACAUAUAGUUUUUCAAAUACAAGGUUUUGUACUAAUAGUGGAUAGAGGAUUUAUGUUCUUUAAAAUGUGUUAUUUAGAAAAACGUUUAUUUCACUCAUUGUAUGUGUAAUCAGUUGUACAAUCUAACUUUUAUGUCAUGUGUAUGUCAAUCAGUAUGUUUCUUUAUGUUCAUUGGAGCUGUCAUGAGGUAAAACCCAAUUAGAGUUAAGAAGGGGCGGGACAAGCGCAGGUCAAGGUAUUGCGAGGUUUUUGCGAACAGACGCUUCUGUCCAGUGAAGGGAGAGACGAGCUGCAACAGAAGAGUGUGACGCUGAGAUCAAAUUAUUCCAGGUUGACUACCCGUGGACCAGGGUAUAAUUUUGAAGCUGAAGCGAGAAGAGACUGUCGGUGUGGGAGAGGAGGAAGUCGAAGAGGUUUUCCUUGGCCUUCCAUGCGGACGGACUGCUGUUUUUCUUCCGGUCAUUCCUGUGACGUGGUGUAUCAGCUCGACUGCCAAUGUCAUCACCAUCAUCAUCACCAAUGCGCCUGUGACUAUCCUGCUCGUUAUUCGUUGGGACUCGUGAGUACAGUAUGAACAGAACUUGCACGUGCAUUUAUUUUUGCUCCAUUUGAGUGAAGCGGCCAUUCGUUCUCGGCCUCAACGUACCCGAGCACCGACUCAGGCCUGCAACGUUUUUUUUUUAAAUCUUUGAGUUAAAAGGAGUGUGUGUAGAUUUGCAUUGAGCAUGUUGAUACGUGUGAUUUUUCUGUGAACUGAAAUCCACGUUUUAUUAUUAGUCUGGUUUAAAUGGUAAAAAACGUCUUGGUAUAAAAAAGGAAGUUGAAAGAUCUUAAAAUUUAGGUUUAAGGUAAUAAUAAGGUGAAUUUGUUUGUGUUUAAAAUUAUAAAGUAGAAAAAGGUGUUAAAUCUUUGAAACCCAAAGUAAAUAGUGUUUUGGUGUAAAUUAAAGAAACGUAAAGGUUUUGUUUAUUUUCUGAACUCAAAGGUUUAAUAGAGGGUGUAAAGACUGAAGCAAUUUAUUCGUUUUAAUCACUGUGGUUUAAAAUAUUUUGUUUACAGUUUUAAUUUCAUUUUCUAAGAAAGAUUUAAAGAUUUGCCUAAAUUUAUUUUUUUUUCUUUUCACUAAUUGUAUAAAUAAAAUACCUAAUACAGGAUCAUUGAAUUUAAA